UACGUAGGUGGCAAGCGUUGUCCGGAAUUAUUGGGCGUAAAGCGCGCGCAGGCGGUCCCUUAAGUCUGAUGUGAAAGCCCACGGCUCAACCGUGGAGGGUCAUUGGAAACUGGGGGACUUGAGUGCAGAAGAGGAAAGUGGAAUUCCAUGUGUAGCGGUGAAAUGCGUAGAGAUGUGGAGGAACACCAGUGGCGAAGGCGAGUUUCUGGUCUGUAACUGACGCUGAGGCGCGAAAGCGUGGGGAGCAAACAGG
rnacentral:rRNA from 1 species